rnacentral:rRNA from 1 species
GACGUAGGUGGCGACCGUUAUCCGGAAUUAUUGGGCGUAAAGGGCGCGUAGGCGGUGCGGUAAGUCUGCAGUGAAAUCUCUGGGCUCAACUCAGAGUCUGCUGUGGAAACUGCCGUGCUUGAGUGUGGGAGAGGUGAGUGGAAUUCCCGGUGUAGAGGUGAAAUUCGUAGAUAUCGGGAGGAACACCGGUGGCGAAGGCGGCGACCUGGGUAGAUACUGACGCUGAGGCGCGAAAGCGUGGGGAGCAAACAGG